rnacentral:rRNA from 1 species
CAGCCCCUCGAGUGGUGGGGAUGAUUAUUUGGCCUAAAGCGUCCGUAGCCGGCCGAGUAAGUCCCCCGUUAAAUCCAGCGUCUCAAGCGUUGGACUGCGGGAGAUACUACUUGGCUAGAGAGUGGGAGAGGUCAGCGGUAUUCUGGGGGUAGGGGCGAAAUCCUUUGAUCCCCGGAGGACCACCAGUGACGAAGGCUGCUGACUAGAACACGUCUGACGGUCAGGGACGAAAGCUGGGGUAGCGAACCGGAUUAGAUACCCGAGUAGUCC